rnacentral:rRNA from 1 species
UACGUAGGGUGCGAGCGUUGUCCGGAAUUAUUGGGCGUAAAGAGCUCGUAGGCGGUUUGUUGCGUCGGCCGUGAAAACCUGCAGCUUAACUGUGGGCCUGCGGUCGAUACGGGCAGACUUGAGUUCGGUAGGGGAGACUGGAAUUCCUGGUGUAGCGGUGAAAUGCGCAGAUAUCAGGAAGAACACCUAUGGCGAAGGCAGCUCUCUGGGACGGUACUGACGCUGAGACGCGAAAGCGUGGGGAGCGAACAGG